GACGUGCAUCUUGGUGAUAAUAAUCGGCCGAUCUUUUUAUAGGUUCAUCAAGAGAAUGACGCAUGACGAACUCAAGUCUGUCGGUUUGGAAUAAACAAACGAGCGACCUCAGCUCACAUCAUCCAAGUUCUGGGUCAUUUUCCUUCCUACUUUGACAUCCAGCGAAAAGAUUUCUCUUCAUCCUAUAUGCAAAAAAUUAUUUGGAAUAUUCAAACGACGUAGUUUAUUCGUUUUUCAUCGCCUCAAGAAAUAAAACAACGAUGCACGUUCACUUUUUUAAACACUUAACUUUCUCGAUUGCCAAGUUAAGUCUAGAAAGUAGAUGUAUACCUUCGUUGUUAACUCUGUUGUGUUUAAAACAUUGAUGCAAUUAAACGGUAUGAAUUCUACAGCAGUGUCGUGAGACUAAAGUUGCUCUGAUUUUUCCCCUCCGCACAAAAUGAAAAUAGAUCCCAAAUACAGGAUGUAUUUCAACCAAGACAUAAUACAAGUGUGAUGGGCAGGCGGAGGGGGGCGAUCCAGAGGCGAAGCGUGCUUUGCGAUCUAUCGAUUAUUCUGUCAUUUAAACCUAUGGAAAAGGAUCGAUAGACUCUAUAAUUUGAUUAUCUAAAUCAUAACAUUUAAUUAAGAAUUCAAAGUCAAAUACAACAUUAUAUACAAGACAAACACUAAAAUUAGUAAAAUAAUUAAAAACGAAAAAUCAUAGAAAAAUGUUAUUUGUUCCAUAGUAAAACUAGCACUGUUUUGAAAUCUUACAUUGUUUCACACUCCUAUUUCUAAAGAAGAAUUAAACCUUUUUUAUAAAUCUUAAAUUUACUGCACUUUCUGCCACAUUAGAAAAAAAUAUUAAGCCUAACUCCUUAAAACUAUGAUUGAGAACUGGCUUAUUGAUUUUUCAUUCUAAGUAGAGUCGUUGGCAACAAACGCCUUAAUAAUCGAUCUUUUACCAUAGCUUCAAAUGGGGGAACACCGAUAAUCGAUUAUUCACGCCUCGCCUUUGCGGCGAUCGAUGGUGCAAUUAACGAAGUUGAAAUUUUCCGGCUUGUAUUCGGAUCGAAUAGGAUUUCCUUCGUGUUGACAGCGAAGGAGUGAAGGGUUCUGGCAGGAGCACAAUGAGGAGGGAAAAAAUGUUUGCUUCGGUCAAACGGAGUUUAAAUUAAUUUCUGAUAUAUUAACGAAGGAGAGGUGGGGGCGGCCGGUGGACAGCUCGUCAGGAAGGCAAGGAGUAUAGAUAUAAUAAAUUGAUAAACUGUUCUAGAAAGGACAUUGCAAAGAAAUGAUCGGGGCCGGAUUAAAAUAAUACAAGAUAGACGAAGGGAUUGAAUUAAAUUAUUACAUUGUUUCGCUUCAUGUUGGUCUUUAUCAACAAUCGUUAAACUGUCUAUUUGGCUCAGACAAUGGCUUGUAUUUUACAAUUCAGGUUUCUUAGUGGUUGAGCCUGGUUGUUGCAAGCUCUUGCUUUAGCUCUGUCUCUCUC
rnacentral:lncRNA from 1 species